rnacentral:lncRNA from 1 species
UACAAAAAAAUAAAUAAAUAAAAAUAAUAAUAAUAAAAUAAAUAAAAUAUAAUAAAAAAAAUUUGGACUUGGGUCUCUCUCAUUUGAGCCCACAAAACCAUGAAAUUCAGUCUAUAAAUACCAAGGCUUCACUUGAGAAAAAGGAAGAGAAGCAAAAUACUCUGAGGUUUCCUUGGAACAAAACCCUGGACAAAACCUGAAGAGAAACCUGACAGAGAAC